AUGAACCGCAUAAGCUGGAACUGUCGAGGGCUUGGGAACCCUGAGAGAGUUCGCGAGCUUCGCAAAAUUGUGAAGCAAGAAGGUCCCGCCCUUCUCUUUGUUAUGGAAACGAAGAUUAAGGGUAAACGGGUGGAGAACCUGAAAUCUGUCCUAGGGUUUGAAGGUUGUUUUGUGGUCGAUAACAGUGGUUUAAGUGGUGGCAUUGGCUUGUUU
rnacentral:rRNA from 1 species